rnacentral:rRNA from 1 species
UGGGGAAUAUUGCACAAUGGGCGAAAGACUGAUGCAGCGACGCCGCGUGAGUGAAGAAGUAUUUCGGUAUGUAAAGCUCUAUCAGCAGGGAAGAAAAUGACGGUACCUGACUAAGAAGCCCCGGCUAACUACGUGCCAGCAGCCGCGGUAAUACGUAGGGGGCAAGCGUUAUCCGGAUUUACUGGGUGUAAAGGGAGCGUAGACGGCGAAGCAAGUCUGAAGUGAAAACCCAGGGCUCAACCCUGGGACUGCUUUGGAAACUGUUUUGCUAGAGUGUCGGAGAGGUAAGUGGAAUUCCUAGUGUAGCGGUGAAAUGCGUAGAUAUUAGGAGGAACACCAGUGGCGAAGGCGGCUUACUGGACGAUAACUGACGUUGAGGCUCGAAAGCGUGGGGAGCAAACAGG